GGCGGAGCUUCCCCGGCUCGUGGAGGUUGGAGAGUGAGCGCGCGGCGGAGCGUCGCGGACUGAAACUGAGCCGUCAAACGAGACGCCGCGGUUUUCAACUGGACUCUUUUUGCCUUUUGUGUGUGUGUGUGUGUGUGUGUGUGUGUGUGUGUGUGUCUCCUACCAUGGACUUACCGAGUGCCGAAAACUGUCCGGACUUUGUCUCUCCCUGACUGAGCUGCGCUGCGUCUGGUGUUCUGACUCCUUCUCCAUCCGCAGGAGGUAAAAGUUCAGCACUCAGCUGAUCAGUAGCAGUGUUCAGCAGCAGUGUUCAGUAGUAGUAGUAGUAGUGUUCAGUAGUAGUAGGGCUCAGCAGUAGGGUUCAGUAGCAGUCUUCAGCAGUAGUGCUCAGCAGUAGGGUUCAGUAGUAUAGUUCAGUAGUAGUGUUCAGUAGUAGUGUUCAGUAGUAGUGUUCAGUAGUAGUGUUCAGUAGUAGUGUUCAGUAGCGAACGCCGCGGUGUAGGCACGCAUCAAAACACGCGCGUGGGAUUUAACCCAGCUGUCAUUUCAGAGAUUUAUUUAUUUAUUUAUCUAUUUAUUUAUUUAUUUAUUCAUGCUUGAAGAUGUCAUAGUGCAGGCAGCUGAGCAUUUUGUACGUCUUAAUGCUAUUCUGUGUGUUUUUGGUCACUCGGGUAACAGUUUGGAGGCGUUAGUAUGUGGGGUUUAAUGGUUCUGAGGAGGGAUGACGGCCGGAAAAGUUCGUUGGCCCUAAAGAUUUGAAAAAUUAAAUAAAUAAGUGAAUGAACGUCCGGUGCGCGAGACCCGUUCUCAGUGCUGAUUUGUGUUGGAAUUUUGCCUCAGCGUUACCUUUCAGGCAGGUAUCAAGAAGUGCCACAGCGUUUUAUUUAUUUGUGUUUGUUAUUGUUGUUUUGUUAUUGUUGUGUUUGAUUUGAUUUGUUUUGAACCAACAUCCUUUGUGGGAAGUAGUCAUAAAGAGCUGCAGGUGAUGGAGUAACGGCCCGCGGGUGGGUGGAACUUGUGCUUUAGGCUGGAGUCCAGGGCUGCGUCCCUCUCUGAGGAGGUGUCAGUAGGUGCUGCAGGGAUGCAUGUGGUUAGGGGUUUGAGCUUGUCGCAGGAGCGUCUCAUUUAACUUGCUGGGUGAUGAUGGAGAAUGUGAGCUGUGCUGAAACGGAAGUGUUGGCAUGGUGAUUUCAGCGCGUGCCGUUGAUCAAACAGCUGUCUUUAAAACGACAAACAAACAAAAGAACUCAAAAGAGCUGUGUGUGUGUGUGAGAGAGAGAGAGUGUGUGAGAGAGUGAGUGUGUGGUUCCCCUCCUCGUUUUUUUCCGCUUCAACACGUGUUAACGUCUCCAUCCAACCCACUCAUGUAUUUGACGUGACUCGAUUGCGCCUUGUUCGUCCUGAAGCCAAAAGAUCACCUGUUGCAGAUUGCAGAUCGCUGGUUGGGAUGUGAUCCGGUGUCUACAAGACAACACGCAGCACGGUUAUUACUACAGAACUAUCUGGAGAACGAUAACAAGAUCGUUCGCAAUAAACGACUUUAUUCGUGGUGUUCCGAACCCUCAGGGGAAUUCUCCUGGUGUUCCUGGGAUUGGUUCCUGAUCCGGUGCGAGACCGACCGAGAUCCCACUCUGACCGAAGAUCACGAUGUUAUCGGUCGCUUUAAAAGGAUUGUAAAACUUUUUCUUUCUUUCCUGCGAGGGCAAAAACCUGCGUGCACCGUUGGAGAACUGGGUAACGACUAGAUGUACGUUCGCAGAUGUUACGCUUCAUCGUCGGUAAGCACUGUAUCGUCCUCGGGGUCACGGAGGAUCCGGAACCUGUCCCGGGAACACCGGGUGUGAGGCAGGAAUACACCCUGGAAAACACUCGUCGACACAUAGGAUAGUCAAUCCAGCAACACGCGUGCUUUUACGAAACCCGACACAAAGAUGUGGGUUGAACACGCGCUGCCCCGAGCUCAGGAUGGCGCCGCGGACCCUGGAGCUGUGAUCCGGAGCACGAACCGUAAAAACGCCUUCAAGUAUCGCGAUGUGAUAUCCGUUGCCACAUCACCCUAACCCUAGUCGUGACGGUCGAUCGAGCUCUCCG
ensembl:lncRNA